rnacentral:tRNA from 1 species
GGUUGUGGUUCAGUGGGAGAGUGCUUACCUAGCAUGUGUGAGGCACUGGGUUCAAUUCUCAGCACCA